UUCGCCCUUAGAGUUUGAUCCUGGCUCAGGAUGAACGCUAGCUACAGGCUUAACACAUGCAAGUCGAGGGGAAACGAUAGAGAAAGCUUGCUUUUUCUAGGCGUCGACCGGCGCACGGGUGAGUAACGCGUAUCCAACCUGCCCAUCACUUGGGGAUAACCUUGCGAAAGUAAGACUAAUACCCAAUGAUAUCUCUAGAAGACAUCUGAAAGAGAUUAAAGAUUCAUCGGUGAUGGAUGGGGAUGCGUCUGAUUAGCUUGUUGGCGGGGUAACGGCCCACCAAGGCGACGAUCAGUAGGGGUUCUGAGAGGAAGGUCCCCCACAUUGGAACUGAGACACGGUCCAAACUCCUACGGGAGGCAGCAGUGAGGAAUAUUGGUCAAUGGGCGAGAGCCUGAACCAGCCAAGUAGCGUGCAGGAUGACGGCCCUAUGGGUUGUAAACUGCUUUUAUAAGGGAAUAAAGUGAGUCUCGUGAGACUUUUUGCAUGUACCUUAUGAAUAAGGACCGGCUAAUUCCGUGCCAGCAGCCGCGGUAAUACGGAAGGUCCGGGCGUUAUCCGGAUUUAUUGGGUUUAAAGGGAGCGUAGGCCGGAGAUUAAGCGUGUUGUGAAAUGUAGAUGCUCAACAUCUGCACUGCAGCGCGAACUGGUUUCCUUGAGUACGCACAAAGUGGGCGGAAUUCGUGGUGUAGCGGUGAAAUGCUUAGAUAUCACGAAGAACUCCGAUUGCGAAGGCAGCUCACUGGAGCGCAACUGACGCUGAAGCUCGAAAGUGCGGGUAUCGAACAGGAUUAGAUACCCUGGUAGUCCGCACGGUAAACGAUGGAUGCCCGCUGUUGGUCUGAAUAGGUCAGCGGCCAAGCGAAAGCAUUAAGCAUCCCACCUGGGGAGUACGCCGGCAACGGUGAAACUCAAAGGAAUUGACGG
rnacentral:rRNA from 1 species